CCAUCGCUCAACGGAUAAAAGCUACCCUGGGGAUAACAGGCUUAUCUCCCCCAAGAGUCCACAUCGACGGGGAGGUUUGGCACCUCGAUGUCGGCUCAUCACAUCCUGGGGCUGUAGUAGGUCCCAAGGGUUGGGCUGUUCGCCCAUUAAAGUGGUACGCGAGCUGGGUUCAGAACGUCGUGAGACAGUUCGGUCCCUAUCCGUCGCAGGCGUAGGAAAUUUGAGAAGACCUGUCCUUAGUACGAGAGGACCGGGAUGGACGUACCUCUGGUGUACCAGUUGUCCUGCCAAGGGCAUGGCUGGGUAGCUAUGUACGGAAUGGAUAAGCGCUGAAAGCAUCUAAGCGCGAAGCCAACUUCAAGAUAAGAUUUCCCACCGCAAGGGUAAGACCCCAGAAAGACUAUCUGGUUGAUAGGUCGAAGGUGUAAGUGCAGUAAUGUAUUUAGCUUAUCGAUACUAAUAGGUCGAGGACUUGACCAAU
rnacentral:rRNA from 1 species